GUCUGUGGUCAUACCACCCUGAACGUGCCAGAUCUCAUCUGAUCUCGGAAGCUAAGUAGGGUCGGGCCUGGUUAGUACGUGGAUGGGAGACCGCUUGGGAAUACCAGAUACUGUAGACU
rnacentral:rRNA from 1 species